rnacentral:lncRNA from 1 species
UCUGUAGUUAUAUAUAUAUAUAUAUAUAGAGUCCGGCUACUAUGCUAUUAAUAGCACAAAGCACUUGGUGCUACCAAGUUUUCCGCCGUUAAAUCUACCCUUUUGAUCAUUUUCACCCGUUAGAUCAUAUUAUUUAACCAACCACCCACUCAACCCUAGGGGGCCCACAUCAUGUUAACCGCACAUCUUUUAAUCCAAUGGCCAAAAACUUGGUAGCACCAAUGACUUGGUGCUAUUAAUAGUAUAGUAGCCUAGUUCAUAUAUAUAUAUAUAUAUAUAUAUAUAGAGUCCGGUUACUAUACUCUUAUGAGUAUGAUUGUCUUCGUACUCAUAAGUUGUUUUCGAUGAUAGAGCUUCCGAAUCGACGAUCCACACCGUUAAACGUUACCUAGAACAUUUAAAAUUUCUAGAAAUCAAAUUUUAUAAUUUUUCGACAUCAUUUAUCUUACGAUCAAAAGGUCACAAAAUUAAUAAUUUUUAACGGCCGGUAUGAGAUAUUUGCUAAUUUAACGGUGUAAAAGAAUCGGAAUAGGUUGAAUUUUUGAUAGAGAAUUAUAUUCACUACAUAGAUAAAGAUCAAUAAUUCCGAUCUUAAAUUGAAGGAUCUGAUCAUUCAUUUUUAGGAUGACAUUCGAUUUUAACCGUUCAUUUUAUACUCGCUUGAUGGACUUUAUAAUAAUUCUGAAAAAUUACGAAAUUUAUUUUCUAGAAGUUUCAAAUACUCUAGAUCAUGCUUAACGGUGUGGAUCGUCGAUUCAAAAAGCCCAACAUCGAAAACAACUUAUGAGUAAUAAGGGCUCUAUACUCAUAAGAGUAUAGUAGCCCUACUAUAUAUAUAUAUAUAUAUAGAGAGAGAGAGAGAGAGAGAGAGAGAGAGUGAGUGAGGCUACUAUGCUAUCGGAAGCACGGAGUCUUCCGUGCUUCCAGCUCAUUUUCGAUGUUGCGAUUUUCGAAUCGUCGAUCGGCUCCGUUAAACUUAAUCUAGAGUAUUUGAAGUACCUAGAAAAUAAAUUUUAUAAUUUUACGAUAUAAUUUGCCUAGUGAACGAAGGGGCUCAAAAUCAAUAAAUUUAUUUUUCAGUCGAGUCUGUCUCCUAGAGUUUUGAGUUUGGUUCGGUUUUACAUCUUGAGAGAGAGAACCCAGUUGAGCCAAUCCCUCUUCAACCUAAUCAACCUAAUCGCUUGAUCUCGACGAGCACACGAGGGUCAACUCAGGAGCCAAUUCACCGUUGACUCGGUCAACGGUUCAGAGAACUCAGUUCGCUUCAAACACUAUUAUUGUUUAAAAUGGUCGGCUAAUGUUCUGCAGGAUGGUCAUGAAUGCAGUGUAUUAGUUCUAAAAUCUUGCAACUAUAUAUAAAAAAUUACAUAUAUUUAUCUCUUUCUUCUCCCUGUUUAUGUAUAUACAACAGUGACCAUUGUGAUAUAUAGUAUCUAGGUUUUAUCACAUUGUCUUAAGCAAUGAUGUUUCCUCUGUUUUGUUUUGACAUUUUUUUUGUAUCGAAUUUUAGAAAAUAUUUUAUAAAAAGUAAAUUAUCAAUUCCACGAUAUUAAGAAUUUCAAGCAGCUCGUUUAGGGCUCGAGCUCGCUCGACUCGAAAUUAGGCUCGCUCGAGCUCGGCUCGAAUUAAUUUCAAGCCGAGCUUGAGCCUAAAUUUAGGCUCGAAAUUAAUUUCAAGUCAGGCUCGAGCUAUCAUAAGCUACAAGUGUGAAGCAACCACAUCCCGAAAAGAAGGAAACCUUGGGCAAAAAAAAAAUAAAAAAUAAAAAAUCUUAAGAAGAGAUUUUUGACAGACAAAAGCUGCUAGUUUAUCUCAAUAUCUCUACUAAAAAAAGCCAGCAAUUCUGACCUCUGUUUGACCAUAUUGGCCUUAGCUGAUUUGUUAGGAAUAUAGAGCAAGAAUAUUGAGAAUAAAAUUAGUGUUUAAAGCAAAAUGAAGUUAAUAACAAUAGUUGACUUUUCUCAAAAAAGAAAAAAGAUUGACAUGAAGCUUAACACUUAAAACAUCAGAAAGACAAGAUGUAAGACUUGGAUUCCAUAUUACUGUUUUACUUCCCCAACUUCUUAAGACUAUAUCAAACAGGGUAUACCCCNAGAACACUAGCAGGGCAUACGACCAAUGUACCAGCCGCAGGCCUUGACAUGUUCGAUCCGCGUUUCGAUGAACUAGCUCCAGGCUCCUGUUUAGUUUCGGGCUUAACAUUUUGCUUUUCUUCAUCCGCAUGUGAAGCCGAUGACUCGCAUUUAGGUUCAUUAUUUGUGAUUUCCUUUGAUUUAUCCACUACAGUUACACCAUCAUCAUCCUCGUCUAAAUUUAGUGCUUCAGGCUUUACAUGAUUCGAAUCAUCUGAAGUGAACUUGGACUGCUGAGACUUCUGCUUUUGAAUAAGGGCUAUUGUCGACACAGUCUUACCAAGACCCUGUUACAAGAACAGUUAAAAAGAACAGGAAAAAAAAUCCGCAAGGGAAAAUCAAAGAGAACAUAGUAAAGGAAUAUUAGUGGUGCUGGAAUACUUCUAAAAGCACAUGAAUAGUGCUUGCUCCCAAGUUUUUAACCCUCAGAUGCUUAGGGUUUACUAUUUUGGUGGUGGUACUAUAAUGGAUACACAAGGGCUAAAAAGUUGAUAGUAGGCACUAUUCAUGUGCUUUUGAAAGAACCCAAGAAGGACUCGAGGAAUAAGGUAAAACAAGAAAAAUAUUGCUGGGAACUUAAUGCAUCAAAACUGACCUGAUCGUCAGCAAGAAUGCCACCAGCACAAUAUACACUCUUCUCCUUCUGAACCAUCCAAGCUAAGGCUAUUUUCUUUGAAACAUCAAUGACAUAAAAUAUCUCGUAAGAGAUUGUUAUAAACAAAACAAAUAGAAUAGCUAAACAAUCCAGCAAGCAGACUAACCUGAUGCUUUAAAAGAGAAACAGAUAAGAGUCCCUUGGGCAGGUCGUCUUCCAAUUUAGGUUGACCAAGAUCCUGCCCAAAAACAAAAAACCAACAAAUAGGAUAUACAUUGAAAUAUCUAUUAUGAAAGCACACCAGUAUAGGCAGCAAUCAGUUGAAACUAAACUUUACGGCUUAAAAAUGGUAAAAUUUGAUAUCCAUUUAUUACAUGCGCUUGAUUGGAGCAUAUUUCCAGGAUAAGAAUAUGUUGAACUAAAUACAUUCGAGUAUGUUAGAAUAAACAAAUGAAGGUAGCAAAAGGUAAGUUAAACGCCUUCUAUUAUUAUUAUAAUUAAUCUCUUGAAAUAUUAAGUUAAAGAAAAAUCUUAAUUGAUCUGCAUCAUGUAAGAAGAUUUACCUGCAAUGCUUGUUGAUAUAUAACUCUCUCGUCACAGUCGAAGUGCCUAUCUUCUACAAGGUUUGAUCGAUGCUGCAAAUCAGUACCAGCGACAGGCGGUAAGCCAUUAGUUGAAUUGCCAUACGUUAAUGACGGAGGAAGAACCCUGUGUGUACCAGCAUUUCCAUUUAUAUGCAUAUCACCUGCACCCGAAGGGUAAAAAAGAAAAAUAAAAAAUGAGAGUUGCACCUUAAUUAAUCUUAGGUCCUGUAUGGUGCAAUGGAACUUCUGUAGAGGAGCUGUUUCAAAAAAGCAGUUACAGCUUUUUCAAUAAACUCACCCCCAACUAAUUCCCACUUUGAAAGAAGCAGAAGCUUCAAACAAGAGCCUGUUCUUUUGGGGCUCCAGAAGCAAAAGCUGAGGGCUUUUUAUUUGAUCAAACAUAUAUCUCGAAGUAAUGAAGAGAAGAGAAGCCAUGCCAAACAGGCUCUAUGAUCUCAAUUAUUUGGUAAUCGCAUCUUUUGUUCUAAAUAACAGGUAAGUUUGUCUGAAGAAAAAGAAGAAAUCACCUUGAGUACUUCCAGUUGAAGCUAUGAAAGAAUUAUCAAAAAAUGACCUCUGGUUCACACCAUUAGAUGCAUGUCCUCCAACAUAAUGAGAAGAAUUCGCAAAAUAAUUGCUCUUUCCCCUGGAUUCUAGUAAAUCUUUUGACUGUGUAUCUUCCACAUGCUUAUGAUUUGUAAAAGACGUAGGAAGAGCCCUAUGUUUACCAUUAUUUCUGUGCAUAUCAAAUUCAUUAAUUUCCUUUCCCCUAUCAUCCAACUUACUGUUUGGCCCGACAGCACUUGCAGAAGAAGGGCCAAACCCUUCAUGGGUUCUCACAGACCUUUCAUGAACCCCUUUCACUGGAGGCUUCGAAAAUCUUGGCUGAAAUGACAGUGGAAGAGUCCUCCGCUGACUGAGCUGAGAUGGAUAGUUUGUCGGAGAAUUCACUUCUUGAUUUUUGGUAAGCUCCGAAUUAUUUAUGGUGCCUAAUUCAUCCCGCCCAGCGUAAGGGCUUCUAUAAGGUGCAAUGCUUGGUUCAUCUUCAUCGACCUGGAUUGGAAACUGUGGACUAUUCGACCACUGGUUAGCAGCAUCGCUGAAGGUAUCGCCUAAUGAUUCGUCAUCACUGACCUCAAAAUCAUCAUCACUUUCUGAAGAACCGAUUUCAAUGAUGUCCAUAUCAACCAAUUGCCUCCUCCGCAGUGAAUUUAGAGACGAAGUUUCCGGCUGGUGACCAACCUCUGAAUUUUUAAAAGCAUAUACGACUGAAUCAGGUUUUAAAAUGUCAAGAAAUAUUGUUACGGGCUGCCAGACAGCUUAGAACAGAUAGCCAAAAAUGUCAAAUUAAAAAGUACGCAGUAAAACGAAAGAGCUGAAAUAUUUUUGAUUAAAACCAUUAGUAGGCCCUCUUGGUCCGGGGAUAGCAAGGUUUUCGUCAACCAAAGGCAACAAAAUGGAAUAAAGAAAAGUUGUCGUGGACCUUUACUUGGACAGAUUACUCUAAUAACCCAAAAAAUUACAAUUUCUCAUUAAUCCUAGAACUGCACUAUCCAUCACUUUAUCCCCACUUGCCACAAUAAGAAUUACAUUUACCCCUUACAAUUAUACCAGCAACCAUUAAGUUUUACUAAGAUGUAAAACCUAGUGCAAGUUAGUCCUAGUUCUCGAUUAUUACGGGAUAGCAAAAAAAAGCAAUAAUAAAAAGAACUCGUACCCAUAAAAUUCGUCCCCCUCCCAAGCAAUAUGCAAAUUUUCACAAGAUCAGUUACCAAAAAUAUCCUAAAUUGCAACAAGUGCAUAUCACCAACUCCCAUUUCCACCACCAAACCCAAUCUAAUCAAUAAAGCAGCUUCUACUCGAACGAUUUCAAACGCACAACUACGUUCGCACGUCACUUCUUCAGAUCUCUUGAUCAACACAGAACCAGAUUUGAAAGCAGAAACCUAAUUUUGGCUCCCAAAAUUUCCAUCUUUUCACCAAAAAAUCGCGAUUACACAACAAUGCCAACAAUUAAGCACACAAGAAGCUGCCACAAACAUAAAAAUACUCACGAAAAAUAGCAUCUUUUACACGAAGUCAAGAAGCUUACGAUCGAUUGCGAAGGCCUCCUCCAAUUGGGCGAGUGCAAAGGCGCGACCUUUUCUCGGAUUCAGGACGAGGAGGAGGAAACCCUAACCCUAGAAGCCGAUGAGCGGGGUCAAAUUAGGGUGUUGAACGGGGCAAUUAGCCAAAAGGAGAAUUAGAGGGGGCAAAUCGAAAUUAGGAAACGAAGAAUAGAGAGAGGAGAGAGAGAGAGAGAGAGAGAGAGAGAGAGAGAGAGAGAGGGGUCGACGACAUCGACCUCCACGGCUCCAGUCUCUUUUGGGUUUCGAAACGAGUACACGAGGAGAAUGGAAGAGACGGGUAAAUUUGCACCGUAGUUCCUAAACGUUUACAAAAAUUCCAUUCGAUCCCUCAUACUUUUAAAUUCGAUAUUUAAAGAUCCUGGGGUGAAGCGAUUCCGAAUAGUUUUGGAAUUUUUUGAAUGUUGAUUUUAAGAAAGUUAAGGACCAAAAUGCAAUUUGGCCAGAAGGAUACCUAGGCGGAGAUUCCGAGGCAGGUGCGAAGCGACCUCCCCGAACACGAGUUCAGAGCGAAGUAGAACGGAUCCGGAUCUGGAUACGGAUCCGGAUCCGCUGCUUGGUCCGAACACCACACGGCGAGAAGUUUCGCGCCAACGGCUACGAUUCGUUGGAAAAAGAUUUUUUUUUCUUUUAAUAAUACAAAGAAAAAUUGUAGAGGGCCCUUUAUGGACUAUGGAACCCUAUCGCUAAAUACCAAUUUUAUUAGUUUAUACAUAUUUUUAAUAUGAGUAAUUGAUCAUUUUUAAAAGAUAAAAAAAUUUUAUUUAUUUGCGGUAAUUAUAAUAUUUUGGCCAGUUAUUAUGAAAGUAUUAUUUUUUUUCCAAACUAAGAAAUAAUACUGGUGGCGUUGUUGACUCGGCGAAUUGAAUAGGCUCGCUGAAUUAGCAAAGUGGUCAUAUUAAAAUUUAAAUAUAAUGGUAGUUAUAACCUUAAUUUUUGUGGUACAGGCCCAAGCCCGUUAGUGUUGUAGGUUCACUCCAAAUGCCCAUUUGACCCAUUUAGGAACAUCGCAUUCGGCCCAAUCUUUCUCUUAUGCUAGCCAUUUAUUGUUAAGGCUUCUUUUGGGAUUACGAAGAGAUUAUGUUAAGUAUAAUAAAAAAGUACGAUAGAAAAAUAUUUUAUUUGUUUCUAUACAUAAUAUUGUGUUCUGAAUAUCGUGAUGAGUUAAUUAUGAUAUAUUUUCUACGAUCCUACCAGAGAACGUAAAAGCAUAUUUCCAUCUCGGUUUUUGCCCGAACUCCAUUUUAUUUAGUAGCGUGAGAUAGACUUCAAUACCAAACUGAGCGUAACUAAAGUAGGUGGAGGAGACAGAUAAAUUGAGUGACGGAAUGUGAUCCACAAUAAAUCUAUUGGCAAGAGAUCUAAUAAUAAACUCAACGUCCCAAUGGAUUGAAUGAGAUUGAAACCCAUGUGCGUCCUUCUUAUAUCUUCGUUUUUGGAUCAAGUACGAUCUGACUAUGAAUCAACAAGAAGAAAUCGUAUUAUAGAGCGUGACCUUACGGUGUACUAUUAUCGAAAUCUUUUUCUCAAUCAUAAAUAACGCAUAUUAGUUGCAAUUUGAGAGAGAAAGAGAGAGAUGUGUGUGAAGGGCUUUGGCCAUGAGCUACAACAUUUUCAAGCUGUCCGCGUCGAAGUGCGGGCUAACACGCAAUUUUCACACUUUGUAGCUGUAUAUCCAAAAUAUAUAUAAUAAAAUAUAUAAUAUAUAUAAUGGAAGGACAUAAAUAUUUUAAUGUAACCUACCGAUCGAAAAAAAACAGAAAAGAAAAGAAGGUGCGAAAAUAUUUAAUUAUGUGCUGAUGAUAGAAGGUGACGUGCUUGGUCCACGUUGAUACGAAUGUGUUAGUCAAAAUUAACGUGUAGUGUGGGGCACUUGACUUAACUACUUUAAUUAAUAGGAAAACUUUAUAAAUAUCAUUCGUAUAGUUUCGUAUUUUUUUAUUUUAAUACUCUAUAAUUUAACCUAUAUUAUUUUCAUAUUUUAUAAUUUUUUUCUUUUUAUUAUCCUAUCUAUCAUUUUUUUUAUUAAAUCAGUGACAAAAUAAAAAUUAAUAAAUACUAAAGUGAAUAUUCGAUAAACUAUAGAUAAGGUAUUUGAAGUUUUUGUAUAUGAUUUAAUAAAAAAUUUUCGAAGGGACUGACGAAAAGGAAAAAAUGAAACUACGUGAUACUAAAUUGAUAUACUGUAAACCAUAGGUAUUACAGUAAAAAAGUACAAAAUCAUAAAAAUAGUAUUUGAAGUUUACCCCAAUUAAUAUAAUAUAUAAUAAUAAUAAAGAUAAUAAUUAUCUUCCGUGUAGAAAUAUUUUUUAGGUCUACUUCGGUUGACGGAGAAUCCAAAUUGUAUCUUAGAUGAGUCUAAAAAUGACUCAUUCUCUCACAUAAAUUAUGGUGUGGAGUCAAUUCCUUGAUUUAUGGUUUUCUCUCACAUAUAUUUUCAUAUACCAAUAAUAUAAAAAUCCAAUCAAACUAACCGUUUCAACUAGUCAAAUCAUGAUCAUGUCUAUAAAAUGAUUUAGUUUAAUCUUUUGAACCAAAUUAGUCAAAAACCGCUUCCAGAUAUUCGGACAAGUGGUUCAACCGUCGAACGCCUUUACUCAAAUCGACCAAAGUUUUUGUCAAGUCAUAUCAAAAUUUAAUGACUUUAACCAACUUAGCUUUCUAUCAGUCUAGAUUAAUCUUAUAAAAAGUAAAAUUUGAAAACUUAUAUCCAUUUAAUUUGAUUUAGAAACCAAUAUUUUAUAAUUAACUAUGACGCUAAAAUAAUAUUUUAUAUAUAUGUAUAUAUUUAUAAUAAUAUAAAAAAUAAUAGUUAAAUUUUAUUACAUUAUGUCGGUGUUCGAUAUUUAAUCUUCUUUUUUUUUUGAGAGAGAGAAAGGUAGCAUGCUAUCUGCAUCGAUUAUUUCGCUUAGAAAUAAACUUAGCUGAAAAUGUGAAUCAAUUAGAAUUCGAACUUAGAACCUCGGACACAAACCACCAAAUUUUUUGCCACUUGCGCUAGAGACAGUCGGUCUGAUUUUUUAAAUAUUAAUAUGAGAGAGAGGGAGAGAAAGAGAAUGAGAUGUAGUUGAUUCAUCAUUUGGAAUGUUGGAUGAUCCACACAUGCAUGCAUAUUUUUCGCUGUUAUUCUUUUAGCUACCGUUUGGUUUGGGGUUAAGAAAAAACUUGUUAUUCCAGGGAUAGGGUUAAGUUCAGGGUUAAGGUGGGGUUAGAGUAUUUUUGUAUUUGGUUAGGGGUUGGAGUUAGUUCAGAAUAGUGAAAAAUAGUGUUUGGUUGGAGUAGGUGGGAUAAGAAGGAUAGUGGGUUAUUAUGAAUAGAAAAUAGUGUUUGGUUGGGAUUUGGUAGGGUUUGGUGGGAUUAGCUAACCCUAGCCCAUUUGAGAUGGAGUUAGCUAACCCCACCCAUUUUUGGAGUAUUUGGGAAUAAUAUGGGGGUUAAGGGGUUAUUCCAUCCCUUAACCCCCAACCAAACAAAGGCUUAAAAAAUAAACUUAACUGAAAAUGUUUGGAACUUCUGAUAACAAUCACCAAAUUAUUUGCUACUUACGCUAGGAUGGAUUCGAACUUAAUAAUCUUCCUUUUUUA